rnacentral:rRNA from 1 species
UACAGAGGUGGCAAGCGUUGUUCGGAAUUACUGGGCGUAAAGGGCGCGUAGGCGGCCUUCUAAGUCAGACGUGAAAUCCCCCGGCUUAACCUGGGAACUGCGUCUGAUACUGGGAGGCUUGAGUAUGGGAGAGGGAUGUAGAAUUCCAGGUGUAGCGGUGAAAUGCGUAGAUAUCUGGAGGAACACCGGUGGCGAAGGCGGGUCUCUGGGCCGAAACUGACGCUGAGGAGCGAAAGCGUGGGGAGCAAACAGG